GGCCCGGGGGUACCCGGCUCCUGCGGGAGCGGCGGCCAGCCGGAGCCCGGUGGUGCCCGCCCGGCGUCGCGCUGAGCCUCCGGCCAGCGCGCGGGUCAGUCGAGCGCAGGGUCCGCACGUACGUGCUGCAGCUUUAUUGAAGUGAAAUGAUAAAAAUGUACCGACUUGGGCGGGUUGUCCGCGCUUUUCGCUGAAAAACAGACGGGUCGCGCAGGCCGCCUGCGAUGUGACCGCAGACGGUGCCUGGUUCGUGUCAGCUUGCGGCUGCCGUGCAGCAGUGAUACAAGUCCUGCUCGGUACCAUCAAAACCCAUUCCUGCUCUGAGGAGAGCAGUUGAAGCAGUUUUAUAAGGAGGUGGAGAGCAGCCUGAUGCCUUUUAAAACAAAAAAAAACCCUAAGACAUUGAAAAGUGUUACCAGUUUUUCAGAUCUGAAAUACUUGAAGCUUCAUUUUCACUUCUGAAGGCAUUUUCUCAAGAAGCUGAUGCCAGAUACACUCACUGGAGAAAAAUCCUGACAUUUCCGAGCAAGUUCUCAUGGCAUGGAGGAGUAAUGCUGUGAUGCCUGGCCCAUUCCUUAGUGAAUCACAGAUAAACCAUAACCCCUAUAGAAGCUGACGAGUGGCAAUUUGAAGUACAGGAGGUAGUUGUCAUCUUAAUCACUUCUGUCAUCUCAGAGAGUGGGCCUUGGAGUCUUGGCCCUCUUGGUGCCUUGCUUGGCCUAUUUACUGCAUCCUGCACUGCUGACAGCUGAUGAUAACUUCCAUGGAUUUCUCUGGAAACAGAAAAGGAAAAUCCUUCUGUGAAACUGAGAAGUCUCUGUCAAGAUGCAUGGAAUUUCCUGCUGAAAUCACAAAGUCCA